UACAGAGGUCUCGAGCGUUAGGCGGAAUCACUGGGCUUAAAGCGUGUGUAGGCGGAUCGUUAAGUGCCUUGUUAAAUCCCACGGCUCAACCGUGGAACUGCUUGGCAUACUGGCGGUCUUGAGCAACCUAGGGGCGAGCGGAACAAAUGGUGGAGCGGUGAAAUGCGUAGAUAUCAUUUGGAACGCCAAUGGUGAAAACAGCUCGCUGGGGGUUUGCUGACGCUGAGACACGAAAGCCAGGGGAGCAAACGGG
rnacentral:rRNA from 1 species